rnacentral:rRNA from 1 species
UACGGGGGGGGCAAGCGUUGUUCGGAAUUAUUGGGCGUAAAGGGCUCGUAGGCGGUUUGUCGCGUCGGGAGUGAAAACACCGGGCUUAACUCGGUGCUUGCUUUCGAUACGGGCAGACUAGAGGCAUGCAGGGGAGAACGGAAUUCCUGGUGUAGCGGUGAAAUGCGCAGAUAUCAGGAGGAACACCGGUGGCGAAGGCGGUUCUCUGGGCAUGUCCUGACGCUGAGGAGCGAAAGUGUGGGGAGCGAACAGG